CUGAUCCUAGAUCAGCAAUCUAACUCUGGGACACUGCCUGUAUGAAACCGAACACAUAGUUGUAAAGUGUAGUUACAGCAGGUGUUUACUGCCAUCUAGUGGAUGAUACCAAUAAAACACUUUAUUUUCAGGGUGGGGAGACGGCUGAUUGAAACCGAAAGUAAAGUUGUUCUUUUGUUCAGGAUCCAUUUUGAGACGACAGAGCAGAAAACACUACAUGGAGAUUAUUGAAAAAUAAAGGGUCAGUGCUCUAAAAUGAGUCUCUCUGGGGAGAGAGAGGAGGGGGGCCCUGCCUCUAAAAUGCAUCUCUCUGGGGGACAUGACACCAAAGCUAAGAGCGCCCGGCCCGGGAUAUAAACCAGCCACCUUUGGACCACAGGUCCAACUCCUGCCACAGCUCCAACUCCUUAGCCGCUGGACGAAAACCUGAGUUAAUCUUGAGAAAUUAGCAUAAAUUAAUCUGCCAAAAUGAAGACAAAACGCUUUGGAGACAUACAUGGUAUCACUUGUUAUACAUAAGUAUUAUACAUAAAUCAUUGCCAAAAGCACAAGACAUAUAUUAUUUAUGGAUUGACCAUAUAGAGAUAUAAAACAUUAUUUUUAACUACUGCAAAGCAAUUACAUGUGGCUCAGGAACCACUGACUCGCUGCAUUAUUCUAUUGUAUUAUCAAGACACCUGCUGUUAACUCUUAACUACUUAGGACAGCUCACGAGGUGUUCUAAAUAUCUGCCGACUAGGUGGGACUAGAGACUUCAUGCAUAGCUUUAAUUUAUUCCCGGAAGUGUCAAAUGUCUUUAUUCACAGCACUUAUACGACCACUUCUCUACUCUGAGACGCUUUGGAUAUGGGCCUAGAUCUCAAAAUAUUGUUAUAAAAAAAGUGGAACGUUUGUUUAACAUAAUAAUAAAAAAUGAAUAUUACUAAUGUAA